rnacentral:rRNA from 1 species
GGGGGGGGGGGGGGGGGGGGGGGGGGGGGGGGGGGGGGGGGGGGGGGGCGGGGGGGGGUGGGGUGCUCGGGUGGCGAGCGGGUGAGUAACACGGGGGUAACCGGCCCUUGACUUUGGGAUAACUUCAGGAGACUGGGGCUACUACCGGAUAGGAGCUCCUGCUGCAUGGUGGGGGUUGGAAAGUUUCGGCGGGUGGGGAUGGCCUCGCGGCUUAUCAGCUUGUUGGUGGGGUAGUGGCUUACCAAGGCUUUGACGGGUAGCCGGCCUGAGAGGGUGACCGGCCACAUUGGGACUGAGAUACGGCCCAGACUCCUACGGGAGGCAGCAGUGGGGAAUAUUGCACAAUGGGCGGAAGCCUGAUGCAGCAACGCCGCGUGCGGGAUGACGGCCUUCGGGUUGUAAACCGCUUUCGCCUGUGACGAAGCGUGAGUGACGGUAAUGGGUAAAGAAGCACCGGCUAACUACGUG